CUCACGCUGAAGAAAAUACCUGGUAUUUCACAGCAACCAUUACCGGAUUUCCCUCGCCAAAGUUCAUGCCAUUCGCGGAAAGCAUACACGUCGCUAGAGCGAUACGAACGACGGGUAAGACAAAAUUAAGUUGUCCUCGGCACAAUCCCUAAACGUAAAUCAUUUGCUCCACAGUCGUUUGAUUCAGCCAGCCUAGAAGUCGAUCACUUCGCAGAGAACCUCCACGUCCAUCCUUCGGUUCAAAAACAAAGCCUUCCCUCGGAAGGCUUUGUUUCUCUAUUUACAGUUAAUCCACAUACGGAUAGUGGCAUCGGACUUGUUCGAACUAGGUGCAACCGCGAGGUGGCUGCGAACUAACGGUCGGGAGUUGAGUCAAGCCAGGGGAGGGCCGAACCACUGGUCCACCGAAAGACGCCUUCGACAGCCGCAGUAUACGACACUGAGUUGCAACCGCAAGUCUUGGUCAGACGUCGUGAAAGCAUAGUACACCAGCGAGCGAGCCACGGCUGCACUGCAGGGUGGUGUGGAAUCAUGUGCGGAAGGGUGACAUCCAUGAUGAUGGCGGCGGCCAGAACAGCGAUUACGGUAGGGGCGCCCCAAUAGUGAGUACAAGAUGGAAAAUUAGCACAUAAGUAGAAAUUCAAAAGAGAAAAGGAAGGCAGGCAAGCUAGAGUAGGAUGAGGCU